AGUGAACGCUGGCGGUAGGCCUAACACAUGCAAGUCGAACGGCAGCACAGUAAGAGCUUGCUCUUACGGGUGGCGAGUGGCGGACGGUUGAGGAAUACAUCGGAAUCUACUUUUUCGUGGGGGAUAACGUAGGGAAACUUACGCUAAUACCGCAUACGACCUACGGGUGAAAUCAUGGGAUCUUCGGACCUUGCGCGAUUGAAUGAGCCGAUGUCGGAUUAGCUAGUUGGCGGGGUAAAGGCCCACCAAGGCGACGAUCCGUAGCUGGUCUGAGAGGAUGAUCAGCCACACUGGAACUGAGACACGGUCCAGACUCCUACGGGAGGCAGCAGUGGGGAAUAUUGGACAAUGGGCGAAAGCCUGAUCCAGCCAUACCGCGUGGGUGAAGAAGGCCUUCGGGUUGUAAAGCCCUUUUGUUGGGAAAGAAAAGCAGCAGGUUAAUACCCCGCUGUUCUGACGGUACCCAAAGAAUAAGCACCGGCUAACUUCGUG
rnacentral:rRNA from 1 species